rnacentral:precursor_RNA from 8 species
CAACAUCUGUUCAUUCUACCUUCCUCGCUUUAGCAGCACGUAAAUAUUGGUGUGUUAUAGUCAAGGCCAACCCCAAUAUUAUGUGUGCUGCUUCAGUAAGGCAGGAGCGAGCCUCCUUUCACUUC